rnacentral:rRNA from 1 species
UGGAGGCAGCAGUGGGGAAUUUUGCACAAUGCCCGAAAGGGUGAUGCAGCAACGCCGCGUGAGGGAUGAAGGCCUUCGGGUCGUAAACCUCUUUCGAUCGGGAAAAACGGGCGGGUGAAGAACCCGCUCUGAUGGUACCGGAUGAAGAAGCCCCGGCCAACUACGUGCCAGCAGCCGCGGUAAUACGUAGGGGGCAAGCGUUGUUCGGAAUUACUGGGCGUAAAGGGCGUGUAGGCGGUGCGGUAAGUUGGGCGUGAAAUCCCCGGGCUUAACUCGGGGCGGUCGUUCAAAACUGCCGUGCUGGAGUGUGGGAGAGGGAAGUGGAAUUCCCGGUGUAGCGGUGAAAUGCGUAGAUAUCGGGAAGAACACCUGUGGCGAAGGCGGCUUCCUGGCCCACAACUGACGCUGAGGCGCGAAAGCUAGGGGAGCAAACAGGAUUAGAUACCCUAGUAGUCC